UACCAGACUCCUACGGGAGGCAGCAGUGGGGAAUAUUGCACAAUGGGCGAAAGCCUGAUGCAGCAACGCCGCGUGAAGGAAGACGGUUUUCGGAUUGUAAACUUCUGUUCUUAGUGAAGAAUAAUGACGGUAACUAAGGAGCAAGCCACGGCUAACUACGUGCCAGCAGCCGCGGUAAUACGUAGGUGGCAAGCGUUGUCCGGAAUUACUGGGUGUAAAGGGAGCGUAGGCGGGAAAGCAAGUUGAAUGUUUAAGGUACGGGCUCAACCUGUACAAGCGUUCAAAACUGUUUUUCUUGAGUGGAGUAGAGGUAAGCGGAAUUCCUAGUGUAGCGGUGAAAUGCGUAAAUAUUAGGAGGAACACCAGUGGCGAAGGCGGCUUACUGGGCUUUAACUGACGCUGAGGCUCGAAAGCGUGGGUAGCAAACAGGAUUAGAUACCCCCGUA
rnacentral:rRNA from 1 species